UACGUAGGGUGCGAGCGUUAAUCGGAAUUACUGGGCGUAAAGCGUGCGCAGGCGGUUUUGUAAGCCAGAUGUGAAAUCCCCGGGCUUAACCUGGGAAUGGCAUUUGGGACUGCAAGGCUCGAGUGCGGCAGAGGAGACUGGAAUUCCUGGUGUAGCAGUGAAAUGCGUAGAUAUCAGGAGGAACACCGAUGGCGAAGGCAGGGCUCUGGGCUGACACUGACGCUCAUGCACGAAAGCGUGGGGAGCAAACAGG
rnacentral:rRNA from 1 species